rnacentral:lncRNA from 1 species
GGACCGUGAAAUUGGGGUAAAAACUCUAAUUUGGCAUUAAAAUUAGAAAAGAUCAUAUUCAUAGGGGAACAUGUGUACUAAGUUUGAAGUCGAUUGGACUUCAACUUCAUCAAAAACUACCUUGACCAAAAACUUUAACCUGAAGCGGGACAGACGGACGGACGAACGGACGGACGAACGAACGGACAGACGGACGGACGGACGGACGCACAGACCAGAAAACAUAAUGCCCCUCUACUAUCGUAGGUGGGGCAUAAAAAUGUUUGAAGAAAUUUUCUUUUUUAUUUAUGAAAUUUCAAAUGAGAAAAAUGAACCCAAUUUUUUUAAUCACAUCCCUUUCCCUUAUUCCAAAACUAAUCUCAAUUAAAAUUUCUAAUGGAGUUUGCAACAAUAACUACUCAUUUAAAUACAUCAUAAAAUAUUAAGAUGUAAAAAAACUGCUUGUUAUCACUGAAUGUUAUUUAUUAUAAUUUAUCAGUUGGUAGUAAAAAGUGAAUAUACAUUGUAUAUUGUAUAUAACAAAGAUUUAAGUUGAUUCUGGACAAAGAAAGAUAACUCCAAUUAAAAAAAAAUCUUGCUAUUGCACAAUAUUUUGCAAUUAGAUAUUUCUUGCUU